rnacentral:rRNA from 1 species
CGUAGGUAACCUGCCUGGUAGCGGGGGAUAACUAUUGGAAACGAUAGCUAAUACCGCAUAAUAGCAGUUGUUGCAUGACAGCUGUUUGAAAGGUGCAAUUGCACCACUACCAGAUGGACCUGCGUUGUAUUAGCUAGUUGGUGGGGUAACGGCUCACCAAGGCGACGAUACAUAGCCGACCUGAGAGGGUGAUCGGCCACACUGGGACUGAGACACGGCCCAG